UAGACUGUAGGGCAAGUCACUGUAUUGUGUUGUUUCGUAGUCCCAUCAGUGGCAGUCGACCAAACCAGUAUGAAAAUAUAAAGAAAAUUAUUACAAACAUAUUUACCGUUUGUUCUCCUCAUUUUCUUUACGGUUUUUCGUGAAAACUAAUUAAAGAUAAUAAUUAUGUUGCCUCCUAAUAAUCGUGGGUAAUAUCCCGGGAAAUCGGAGGUGUGUCCAAUUCAACCAAUCACGAGGCGGGAUUUUCCCUACGUCAUUGUCCUCGUUCGCUACAUAAAAACAUCUAACAACCAUAAUUAUGACACCGAUGAAGUUUCGUCACCGAUACAGAGAUAAAGAGGUGUUUUAUUCACUUCCCGACUGUGAAUGAUGUCGUUUUGAAAGAAUUUACAGACACAAAAUGGUCCAAAGCUUUUGCUUCUGCUGAUAUUUUGAAAAAUAUGGACGGAGAAAAGAGCAAAAUUGCGACGGAUUUCCUUGCCAAUGUCGCCCGUAUACGUGCCUUCACGGUUGUUGUAUACGGCGACAGUACCAGUGGUGCAUUGCAAAUGACAAUGUUGUAAUUUGCGCUGCACUGGUACUGUCGCUGUAUGUAUACGGUUCAAUACCGGCGACAUUGGCAAGGAAAUCCGUCUCAAUUUUGCACUUUUCUCCGUAAAAUACCUCGAGAUUCUAACAAGACUGAAUUUGAAGAUCCAUCUGAUAUCCCUUCACAACCUAAGAAGCUGUGUAGGAGUCUACAAUCUCGGCGCUCAUCUGCCAGCUUUGAUUUGUUGGACCUAUUUGAGACCAUCAGCAUAAAAUGUACGCGUUCAUAUUGAGCACUAGAUGUAUGCAAUAUUUUUUGCUGUUUAUCAGCAGAUUUUUCAACAUUAACUGGUUCUAUUGAUAACAACAAAUAUAUAUGAUAAAAUUAAAAUGAACAAAGGCAAGAUCAUUGUGAAACCUUUUCUCUGAUAUUUCUUAUUCAAUUUGGGGAUUAAAAAAAAAUGAUUUUUAUAUCCCUAUGGUUCCUUUGUUAAUUAUGUACAAAAUAACCAACCUUUCAUGAAUAGACAUAUACAAAUGUAUGGGUCGACUGGGGUGUUUUACAUAUACAUUAUGUGCAACUGUAAUAUAAGAAUAUACUAAAUAUAUGUAAAGAUAUAAUUUCAGAGCUGGAAAAAUGUUUACUAAGUAAUCACUUACAGUAAUGUACUAUUGUACUUGCAUUGCAUGCUCAUUUGUUUCAUAAUAAUAAUAAUAAUAUGGACAUUUAUUAUUUAUUAUGCAUACAUGUAUUUUGCCAUGUUGAAGCAUUGCCAAGAUUUAUAGUCAAAUAUAAAACUUUAUUACGUUCAAAUGUAUGGGUCGUUUCAAACUUUCCAUCACACUCUUUGGACACUUGUUCUAAUCGAAAUAUGUAAAAUUUAUGAAUUCCUCAACAGUAACAGCUUUUUGGCAAUUUUUCUAUCAACAUAUUUUAGGACAUUUUCUUUGAACCAAAAAAAAAAAAGACAACAAAUGACUAGACACAUCUUAUCAAUGUUUCAUAAUUUAUUUCAAUUCCAUCAAUAUUUAUGUAAAAACUGUUAACAAUCUUUGCAGUUCAAGUUAAAUUGCAUUUGUAAAUUACAACAUACAUGUACCAUAGUUCUGAUUUCACUGGCAGUGGCAAGUACCGGUUUUAGAAAAAGUACCCGGUAAUCUACUUGUAGAUAAAUGUCAUUGACAAAAUGGUAGUACGGUAAUACAUUUUACGUAAUGAAUGAAAUCAAAUUAAACAGAGAAGAAUAUAAUUUAUUUGGCAGUUUUGGUAUGAAUUUGUUGUUAGGUUUCUCUUUGAAAUUUGUAUUGUUCUAAACUGAUGCUAUGCAGACCAUGAGCAGUGUUGCUAGUACUACCUAGUAUUAGUAUUAACAAAGUUUUGAACAGCAAUAUAUUUUUCGGGGAAGUGGAAAAUAAACUAAAAGCAACAAUAUUGAUGAUUUGAUUGGAAGGAGUUUGCACAGUUGAUGAAACUCAAUAAGACAUGUUGAAUAUAAUAAGGUAAAUUAUGAUGAAAGAGAAUGGAAGAGUAAGGAGAAAACAACAGGGGAAGAAAAAGAGAUUUUUAAGAGGAGACAUGAGAACAAAAAACGUGUGUGAUGAGAGAGAGAGAGAGAGAUAGAGAGAGAAAUAGGGAAAAAAGGAAGAGUUAAAUGAGUGACAUGAAUAUACAAACAGAUGGUAACUUAAACAAGAUGCAAGAAAUUACAUAACUUGGGCUUAACAAAACUCGUCUUGAUGACGUGCUGAAAUA
rnacentral:lncRNA from 1 species